GGAAGCUUGCCCAUCUUUGAAAUCUUUAUGAAUACAAUAGUAUCAACUCUCAUUGCCAUUUCUCUUGCUUAAUAUUUCUCAAGCAGAGACUCAAGAGGAAUGAAGGUGGGGGAGGUAAUGAAAUUCCCUUUUGCUCUGCCAUGGGGAAUGUGAGGGCUGCUGCAGCUUGGGGAUGGACUCUUGCUCCACAGACUACAGAUAUACCCUUGUAGCCAAAGUAAUCCUUUUUGACUGCCUGUCCGGGUAGAAAAGAGGCUUCUUCAUAAGUGGAUUAAGUGAUCGCAAAAUCUCCUUCUGCCUGGAUUCUACAGCCUUAUGAUGACCUUACUGUCCCCCAUGCCUGGGACUCUCCUUCUCUGCCUCUUAUCUUUCCUGCCUUUCUUCAAGUACCAGGAAUGAGAUGCACAAGAGUAUUGGGCAAGACAGAGAUGAAAGAACAAGUAACAAGAGCAUCUUUCCUUGGCUGAAGUUCCCUGUGCAGAACAUCAGCACCAGGAUCAAUAGGACCUCAACUGUAUGAUGGGAAGAAAACAAACCCAAGGAUGGACUAAUGUGGACUAAUGGCCCACAUCUGAUUUCUGAAUUGGACUGUGUAUUCUGUCAGAGCCUCAAUGACAAGGUCUCAUAGCUCUUCUUAGCCACCCAAAUGAGUCAUGUUUCUCUAUACCUCACAAGAAGUUUUCAUUAUCCUCCUGGUCAUUAUUGCUUCCUGGUCAGUCUUAUCUUACAUUUUAAAACUUCUCCCAGGUAUCUUCAAGGCUAAGUUGAGCUGAAUCUUCCAUUUCAAAUUUAAAAUAAACAUAGAGACCAUAAAGCAUAAGUAUGAAUUUACCAAGGAGUAUUGGUCCACAUUUCUUCAUUAGAACCUCUCUCCUUUAGACCCCAAAAUUGAAAGACUAAAGAUUCAUGCAUACAAGUAUCAUGCCAUUUAGUAGUUCAAAUUUUAUAGUGUGAAGCUUCUUUAAUGGAGAUAGCCACAGUUAUGUCUGUGUAGCCUUAGAAAGGUCUCUUAGUCUGUCUAAGCCUUGGGUUUUUUGGAGAGGAUUUUGUAUUGUUACCCACAAUAUAAGGGGGUAGGACUAAGGUCCUUACCAGUUCUAGUUACGGGAUACUAAAAAAAUAAAGAGAUUACAAACUGAAUCAGUGGAAGUAGAAACUAUCUUAAUCACAGAUUCUUUAUGUAUUGAAAUGGUAACUUCUUUUGUCUUAUGAAUAGCCACACUCUAGAUUGACCAAAAAGAUUUUUUUUUUAAGUUAACAGAAUCUUCUGCAUAUUUAAAGCACUAUUCAGUAAUAUAUGUAUAUGAGAAGGAGUUGGGGGAAAUAGGAUUGAGAAUGCUAAUUCAGUUCUAUUUCUAGUCCUACUCACAAUCAGAGGCUUUAGAAUUACUUUUGCCCUGUAAUUUGUAUAAAGCAUCAGGGGUAUUCUGCAGAAGCCUUUCCACAAAAGGCAUUUAGUUGCCAUGCUUAACUAUCUCAGUUUAGAAUGGAUGGUGAUAGCAGACAGAAUUGAACAUAUAAAAGGAGAACAUGGCAUCUGUCUAUGCCCUUCUUUAUGGUGAAAGACGAACCUGUUGAUGGCAUAAUAAUCAAAAUUAGUGUGAGCCAGUUCUAGCUAAGAAUCCCCUUCUCUGUUAGAGCAGGGUGGACUUAAAAAGCAAGCCCCCAUCCAUAGUCCUUUGGUAAACAAUCAUUUUCUCUGUUUCUAUUGUUUCAUAGAUUUCUCUCCAAAUUUAUUAGGAUUUUUUUCUUAUAAUUCUUUUUUUUUUAUUUUAAAAUGUUUUACUGCUAUUUUUGUCAUGAAAUCACAGUAAUUUCUGGGGAAGAAGAGAGCAAAAAAGCAACUCUCCAACCCCUUCCAGUGAGAGCCUUCCUUUAUAACAAAAAUAAAUAAUCUCAUCAUUGAAUACAAUUAUAAAGUGAUGACAUAUGACAAAAGGCCCUCACCUCCCUUUAAUGAAAAGUUAUGUUUUAGUCUUUGUUCUCCAGGGCCUUUAAUGUUUUUCAAUUACUUCCUGCUAGUAUUAUUUUGAUUUAUAUUGUGACAGUUAUUGUUUAUAUUAUGCAUAUUGCAUAUCUUUUAGUUCUAUUUGUUUUACUCUGUAUCAAUAUAUAAAAAUCUUCCUAUGUUUCUCUAAA